CUUUAGUGGUGAUUUGUGAGAUUUUGGUGCACCCAUCACCCGAGCAGUAUACACUGCACCCAAUAAAACAACGCACAUUUCCUGUCUUACAUGUAGUUCUGGGGGUCAGAAGUCUAAAACGGGCCUCAUGGGGCAAAAGGCAAGGUGACGGCAGGGCUGUUCUUUCUGGAAGUACUAGGAAAGACAUCAAACUUUGCCCUUUCCAGUUUCUCAGGGGUGUGCUUGGCUCAUGGCCAUGUUCACUGCCGGCAGUGGCAUCACUCCGACCUCUGCUGUAGAGCGAUCUCUGUGACUCCUCCUUCUCUGCCUCUGACCCUCCUGUCUCCCUCUUUCCCUUGUAAGAGCCUCCUGAUUACAUUGGUCUUACCUGGAUAAUCCAAGACACUCUCCCCAUCUGAAGAUCCCUCAUCAAAUGGCAUCUGCACAGCCCCUUUUGCCAGGAGCAGAUCCGCCGCUCGAAACAGCUGACCCAGCGACGACUGCGGAACCACUAGCAGCGUCUGCACAGAUCGACCCCGCCAUCCCGCCGUCCCGUUCGGUGACCGGAGACGCAGCCGGGAACGCGACUGAUCAGGCUACCGAGCCGGGCCGCAGGGCGAAAGCGGUGCGGUCCGAGGCCUCAGAAAGGGACACGCAGCAGCGGCAGUGGCGCUGACUCAGCCCGGCCUCCCUGCAGUCCCCUCAAAUACAAAGACUUCUCCGCAAAUGUUUAUAGCAGCUUUAUUUGUAAUAGCCAAAAACUGAUCACAAUCCAAAUGUCCACCAACAGAUCAAAGGAGAAGCGAAUUGUGAUCUGUCCAUAUGAGGGGCUUGGUGCCUGCAGCAACAUGGGUGAAUCUCCAGGUAGUGGUGACGAGUUGAAGGAGCCAGUCAAAAAAGAACGUGCUGUGUGAUUCCAUUUAUAGAAAACUCUAGAAAAUGUGGACUAAUCUAGAGUGAGGGAAAGCAGACCCGUGAUUGCGCCUGGGGCAAGGAGACUUGGGGGUGGAGGGGGGGCCAGAGGGAGGGGUUUCAAAGAUGAUAAAGACAUUUUGAGGGUGAUGGAUAUGAUCCCUCUCUUAAUAGUGGCGAUGGCUUCAUGGAUAGAUACAAAUGUCAAGACAUAUUGAACUGUAUACUUUAAAUGCUUGCGCUUUACUACGUGC
rnacentral:lncRNA from 1 species